UUGGUUCUUUACUUCUGGAUU
rnacentral:piRNA from 1 species